rnacentral:rRNA from 1 species
UACGAGGGGGGCGAGCGUUGUUCGGAUUUACUGGGCGUAAAGGGCGCGCAGGCGGCUUAUUUUGUCAGGCGUGAAAGCCCCGGGCUCAACCUGGGAACUGCGUUUGAUACGGAUGGGCUAGAGUUCGGGAGAGGAGAGUGGAAUUCCCAGUGUAGAGGUGAAAUUCGUAGAUAUUGGGAAGAACACCGGUGGCGAAGGCGGCUAUCUGGACCGACAUUGACGCUGAGGCGCGAAAGCGUGGGGAGCAAACAGG